UGUAUAUUAACAGAGCUAUGCUUUUACGAAAAGAAAGAAAAAAAAAAUUUCAAUGUUAUCCUAAUUUAUGUACUUCUUCUAAUAAAAUCCAAAUUUUGUCAUAUAUUUUUUUGCUUUUAAAAGCACAUGGUAUCUGCUGCCCACAGUCGCUUUCCCAUGAAUUUCAUAGAUUAUAGUGUAUGUACGUAUUCUCUCUGUCUUCCUCUCUACCAAUUCGAUCAUUGCUAGAGCAAUAAAUAUGUCUUUAUUUACAUUUCUUUACGCACAAACAUACGAAAGAGUACGCUUGCAUUGAGAGCUAAACAUUUCCCUAUUUCUUAAUACUGGUCCGGAAAAUUGUUUCGGAACAUUGCUUGCGAACAUUAUUUCUGUGUAGACUGUAUGGUGCUAACUAACUAUGUCAAUUUUCAAAGCACGCAAAAAUGUUGUAUAAACAGCUAUGUUGCAGCGUAAACUUAUAUUUAAAUUCAACAAGCAAAGGUACAAGUCAACAAUUUUUUCCACGAAAGCAUCAUAAAUAUGAUGCAAUGACGUUGCAAUGGUCAUUGAUCAAGGAUUUAAGUGAUACUAGUUUCAUUUGUUCGUAGCGUGGCCAUCAUAUUAGUUUAGAGCAAAUUUUCAAAAUAUUAAAAAAAUGUUUCUCAAGGAAAUGUCAUAGAUAUAAUACACCGUUGGAAAAUAUAUUCAACGAUCAAGGAUUUAAGUGGUGUUACUUUCGUUUGAUCGCAGCACUUGCUUUGGUCCCAGCUAUCCAUCGAAUAUUGUCACCAUUUUAGUUCAUAUAGAACAAAUUUUCAAAGUGCCAAGAAAAAUUGUUCCCGAGGAAACUUUAUAAAUAUGAUACACCGUUGAAAAGGCUAUUGAUCAAUGAUUUACGUGGUGUUAGCUUCAUGUGUUCGCAGCAUUUGGUUUGGUUAUAGCGGCUAAGUAAACUAUCAUUUUUUCAGUCUCGUUUUUGACAUAGUAAAAAGACUUUUUCAUAGUUUGUUUUAAUUAAUUAAUAUAAAGUCGUCUUUUCUUUAUAAUAUUGAAAAAAAAAAAAAAAAAAAUUCUGAAAAAGUUCUAUUUUAAUUAAAUUAUGAUUUAAAUCCCUCCGAGAUUUCAUUUAAGAGGACAGUUAACAAUUUUGGUUUGUGUCUUUACUGGUUAAAUAUAAAUAUCACUUUACAGCCUUACACUAACUACGGAAAAAUAAUGAAGUUUGAGACUAUCGCUUAUGGUCAAAGCAGGAAAUUCCUACCGAUAGUCAACUAAAUCGCAGCUGAAAUUCUACUUUUCAGAAUUAAUUUUAUCAAAUUUUUGAAAAUUUAUUCCAAAACCAUACGUGGCCCUGUCAACAUUCACAGAAAAAACGUGAAUUUUUACUAUCUUUUUAAACAAAUUCAAAUUUGUUUUUUUUUCUUUUAACGACAUAUGCGCCGUAAAUUUAUUUAAUAUAUGUAUAGCUAAAAUAUAGUUCGCGCAAGAAGUAUUAGAAUAUAUAUUUUGCUGAUAUGAAUGGUAGUUUUUAAUGCAGAUUCACGUGAUGAUGUAGGUGAAUAUCAAGGUAAUGAUUGAAGACAAAAUUACUUAAGUUGUAUAUGAAAUGCUAUGGAAAAUGAUUGACAAGAAAGUGUUACUUAGUGAGAAAAAAUAAUAUUAAUAAUAAUAUAAAACAUAUGAAAUGUGUAUGUAUAUAUAUAUAUAUGUUUUUCAUUAAAAAAUAUAAUUUAUUUAAUUUUAAUUUAAAAGACAGACUUCAUUUGAAUUAUUAGAUAAGAUUACACGAGAUGAAAAAAGAGAAAUAGAGAAUUAGAGAGGAAAUGCAUUUAACAGCGAGCGUGAGCGGGAGAGAGAGAAAGUUUUCGAAAAAAAGCUUUUUUUUAAAUGUAAGGUAAAAGCUUUUCAUGACGAAGAGCCAUUUCAAUCUAAAAAGUUGGAAAAAUUUUUAUUAUUUCGUUAUUUUUCGAAGGAGUGAAAAUAUAUUUGAAUGCAAAUUUGCAGUUGCUCGUCAUCAUCAAACGGAAAAAAAAAAAAAAAAUGAAGCAAACUUACACUAAUUGUGAAUAAAAAAGGACAAAAAAAAAAAAAAGAAAAAAAAUUAAAUUAGAAAAAUAAUUCUAUAGAAAAGUGCUAAUGUAAAAAAGGCAAAAGACAACUACCUACCUACUUAUAUUGAGUAUAAAAGCAUAAGGAACGAACAGUAACGAAAAAGGGGGCAACAGGAGUAAUAUUAAUUAAUGUUUCGUUAACUUAAUAAUAAAAAGAAAAGUAAAUGAGAGUAUGACAACAACAACAAUCGAUUUAAAAAGCAGUUGUUCUCAAGUGUUUUAAUUUAAUUUAAUAUAAUAACAGAUGUUUAGACAAAACAUUGAGCGGAUUGCACCAGCAGCACACGUAAUAAAAUUAUAAUAAAUGAAUGAUAAAAAAAAAAAAAAAAA